rnacentral:lncRNA from 1 species
GGGUAACUCUCCCCUUUGAAGAAAACAAUUUGCAGCACCCACAAACUACUUCCAGUGGCUAUAGACUCGACUGUUUCUCCUGGUUUCAAUAUCCUGUUAAAAAGAGAAAGGAAAAGUGUCUAGUAGCUAGAGAAUCUGUUCAGAGCAGGAGUUGUCUUACAACGACAUAAACAGGGCUCUAGAACUAAAACCCUCCCUUGGAACCCAGAGGCACCACAACACCAGCGCAGCGAAAAUUCACAAGGUGUUUUUUUUGGGGGGGAGAGUUGAAGGGACGCAGAAACGCUCACCAGGCGAAAGAUGAACAUGCUGUGGUAUCUGUCUGCUCUGCAGCUGUUCCUGGCUCCAGCUCUCCUGGCACAAGGCGAGACCCAGGAGGCAGAUGGUUG